GAUGAACGCUGGCGGCGUGCCUAAUACAUGCAAGUCGAGCGAAGCGGGGACGGGUGAGUAAAACGUGGAUAACCUCCUAUAAGACUGGGAUCACUUCGGGAAACCGGAGCUAAACCGGAAACUUUUCGAUGGAUCUGCGCUGCAUUAGCUAGUUGGUAAGGUAACGGCUUACCAAGGCAACGAUGCAUAGCCGACCUGAGAGGAUGAUCGGCCACACUGGAACUGAGACACGGUCCAGACUCCGACGGGAGGCAGCAGUAGGGAAUCUUCCGCAAUGGGCGAAAGCCUGACGGAGCCACGCCGCGUGAGUGAUGAAGGUCUUCGGGUCGUAAACCUCUGUUAUUAGUAAAGCGGUACCUAAUCAGAAAGCCACGGCUAACUACGUGCCAGCAGCCGCGGUAAUAC
rnacentral:rRNA from 1 species